CAUCUACCACCACUAUAAACCCCAACCCAAAAUCAACCCACCACUAGCCAAUAAACUAAAAAAGAAUAAAAAAUCUCUUACCACCACUACAAAACAACCACCAUCUCAGCAAACCUUUGUCGAAAAAAUCAUGUACCGCUCUCGAAAUCGUGUAGCCGUAGCUCCGGAGGUCACGGUCUUCUUCUUCACACCCACUCUCAUUGUAAGUUUAUUUUUUUAUUUUUUAUUUUUUUAUUUUAUUUUUAACCAGCUCAUCAAUACCAUCCAUUUACAAAGUCUUUUUAAGAAGUCAAACUCAGGUGCUUCUUAUGUGAUGCCAUUUACUGCCUCCGAAAAAACCCAAGGGGUUUUCGAAUCAUAGAGCAUCAGCCACCUCUUGCUUAGAGCUCAGAAUCCUCUACCUUUACCUUUGAUAAUGGCGACUCAAAUGAUCUAAAAGUGAAAGAUUGAUUGCUGGAGACCUUAAAAGAGAAUUAGUCAUUCAUUACAUCAUUCUUUUGACAAUAUAGGCUUCAUCAUGCCCAUGUAGGAAACUCAAAGUUGUUGCCAGUCUUGUGAAGUCCAAGGCCAAGCACAUCAAAACCAAGGCUUCUGACUUCUCCCCAUCUCCUCUCAAACCCACCACAAAGGAAGCAACCUAGUUCGAGUCAGCGAAAUGGGAACCGGACAAAAUGAAGGAAUUGUUGGCUGACCCUUCGAAUCAAUUGUAGUCAUCUGACACAAGUAUUAUGGUCAACAAAUGAUGUGUUUGCCAAAGUGAUGGGUAAGGAGCGCAAGAGUCGCAUUCGUGGGGUAGGAUUUGGUCCAACCCCAAGUGGUCAAAGUAGCAAGAUUGCUCUCACAGAUAGUGAAAUACAAUCAAGUCAAGCAAGGGACAACGAAGUUGCACAAUUGAAGGAUUCCUUGGCUACUAUGGAGGAGAAACUAGCAGGUUUUGACGAAAUGAAGGAAAAAGUUAGUCAAAUCAAAGAAAUGGAGUAAAGAAUGGCUCGCAUGCUUCAACAAAUGCAACAAAUUUCUACACAAUGCAAUCAGGAUGUUCCUCUGAUCCAACAAUCUCUAGCUCUCCCCAAAUCAUCAGCUGCAUCUCAUCAACCAAGCAGCUCAUAAGUUUUAUCUUGGUGUUCAUGGACUUUUUUGUGUACUAUGGAAGAACAACUGCAUAUUUUGCAAGUGUUGAAGGAUAUUUUUAAACACUUUGGAACUUUAAUUAUAGUAUUAGAUUAAUUUGAGCGGUUGUUUUAUUCAAAGGACCACAUCUUUUUUUGUUAAUCUUAAGAUGGUGGUUAUAGACAAUGUUAUGUAUUUGAUAAUAUAUUUCUAUGUUAAUAUUACGUUAGUUUCAAGA